GCCUGGGUGGCUCAGUUGGUUAAGCAUCCGACUUCAACUCAGGUCAUGAUCUUACAGUUUGUGGGUUCAAGCCCUGCAUCAGGCU
rnacentral:tRNA from 1 species